rfam:TPA: Bos taurus chromosome 11, whole genome shotgun sequence.
UCCCUGGUGGCUCAGAGGUUAAAGCAUCUGCCUGCAAUGCGGGAGACCUGGGUUCGAUCCCUGAGUUGGGAA